rnacentral:rRNA from 1 species
UACAGAGGUCCCAAGCGUUGUUCGGAUUCACUGGGCGUAAAGGGUGCGUAGGCGGUCGGGUAAGUCUGAUGUGAAAUCUCACAGCUUAACUGUGAAACUGCAUUGGAUACUAUCCGGCUCGAGGAAUGGAGGGGAGACUGGAAUACUUGGUGUAGCAGUGAAAUGCGUAGAUAUCAAGUGGAACACCAGUGGCGAAGGCGAUCAUCUGGGGAUGUUCUGACACUGAGGAGCGAAAGCUAGGGGAGCAAACAGG